rnacentral:hammerhead_ribozyme from 1 species
AUCUAGUUGACGAGUUCCAAAUAGGAUGAAACGCCCGUUCUGGAU